UACGUAGGGCGCGAGCGUUGUCCGGAAUCAUUGGGCGUAAAGCGCGUGUAGGCGGCUUAGUAAGUCUACUGUGAAAGUCCAGGGCUCAACCCUGGAAUGUCGGUGGAUACUGCUGAGCUGGAGUACGGGAGGGGCGAGUGGAAUUCCUGGUGUAGCGGUGGAAUGCGCAGAUAUCAGGAGGAACACCUAUGGCGAAGGCAGCUCGCUGGAACGUUACUGACGCUGAGACGCGAAAGCGUGGGGAGCAAACAGGAUUAGAUACCCUAGUAGU
rnacentral:rRNA from 1 species